rnacentral:lncRNA from 1 species
AACUUCAUUCACUUAUGUGAUAAGAUGAAUGGGAAUGGCAUUUAAAAUUGUUUCCUAAUAAGUCUAAUGUUAUAGAAAAUUAUAUUAUAAAAAUAGCUUUAAUCCUUUUUUUGCCAUUAAGGUAUUCAGUUUAUCACUGUUCAUUCAACAGACAUUUAUUUAUUUAUUUGGUACCAGGGAUUGAACCUCAGGGGCACUUAACCACUAAGUCACAUCCCCAGCCUUUUUUUCAUAUUUUAUUUAGAGAUAGGGUCUCAUUGAGUUGCUUAGGGCCUCACUAAAUUGCUAUGGCUGGCUUUGAAUUCACCAUCCUCCUGCUUCAACCUCCUGAGCUGCUGGGAUUACAGGUGUGAGCCACCAUGCCCAUCUUCAACCUGUGUUUAUUGAACCCUGACUAUGUUGGAAAAUGAAACUCCUGGCACUGCAUGGAAGUAUUAGACAGGUGGGGAUGCAUGUCACAGGAAGUAGCACAGAUGAUGCUAGUUGUCUCAAGGAAGUUUCCAGUUUGGGAGAUCAGAGAGAGCUUGGUGGGGAAAGGUGAGUCUCAAACUGAGCCUUAAAAAAUAGGUGCAAUGUUAUGUAAAUAUAGGAAAGAAAAAUCCAGGGACAAUAUGGGUAGCAAGGAAAUUAAUAUACUGUAAUAACUGUAGACCACUUAUGAAACACUGAAAUAUGGAAAUAGGAUGUUUAUAAUCAGUAGGGCCUGGUGGAGUUUUAAUCAUUGUUGAUGGUAUUGAUGAGUUGUGUGUAUGUGUAUGUUUAGGAGUAAUGAAGAAAUGAGUCAAGUUCACAGAGGAAGUAAAAGAGAUGGUAUGAACAGUUAAACCCUGGAAAUAAAAAACUCUUUCUUUGAGAUAGAAACUAUCAUACUUUAUUAAGAAAGAACAUCUAAAGAGUCACAGUUUUUACUGUGUGCUUCCUCACUUUCCCUUUCCUCCAUCUAAUACAUCUCAGCCUCUAGACCUAUAUUUUCAUUAAUAAUUACAUUCAUUUCUUAGCAUAUGCUGGGAACCCAAGACCUUGCACAUACUAAGCACCAUACAUUCAUUUUACUACUCAUUAGGCACCCACUAUGUGCCAGGCAUUAUGUCAGGUGUGAUGGGUACAAAGAUCAAUCAACUGAAUCCCUUUUAGCCUACUGUUGCCUAGCACAAUGUGAGGCACACGGUUAAUACUCAAUAAAAGUUGGCUUCUUUGUGGUAGAGAAUAUAAAAAAAUGAAAAAUCACAGACUAGUUAUCUGUGAAAUUCUCAGUAAAGUAAAAUGGUUAUUAUCCAGUGAGAAUGGAAAGGGUAAGUAGUGAAUUAGAUGUGUGACUUGAAGUACCUGCUGAGGGAAGUGUGCUGGGGAAUAGAUGGGAGAUCAAUACCAAGACUGUCGAACAGCAAUGAGAAUGAGUUAGAGUAGGAUAGAUUGAUUUUGGAGUAGGCCAGUGAUACACAUGUUGGUAUGAAUUUCUCAUGGAAUACUAUUUUAACAGAAUUCACUAUAGCACAGAAGAAUCAGGGGAAACACACUGGGGCAAGGUGGAGACUGAAGGUGAGAAUUGGCUUGGAGAAAAGAUAGGACUUUAAUAAAAGCAAAGUGGAGUUUCACAUUUUGCUAAGGGCAAGUCAUUUCUCCUCCAGAUAACUUGGUGUUACAUGAUAUUUACUUCA